rnacentral:rRNA from 1 species
GUUGAACGCUGGCGGCGUGCCUAAUACAUGCAAGUCGAACGAAAACAUGCGGAGCGUUCCUCACUGACGUCGGAGGGGGACGGGAGAGAAAGAAACGGAUAACCUACCUGGAAGUAAGGGAUCACUUCGGGAAAUCGGAGCUCAUACCGGCUAAUAUAGUGAACGGCAUGGCACAAUAGUGAAAGUCGGUUUUGCUGUCUGUUAUAGCCGGAUCCGCGCCGCAUUAGGUAGUUGGUAAGGUAACGGCUUACCAAGGCAACGAUGCGUAGCCGACCUGAGAGGAUGAUCAGCCACACUGGAACUGAGACACGGCCCAGACUCCUACGGGAGGCAGCAGUGGGGAAUCUUGCGCAAUGGGCGAAAGCUUGACGGAGCAACGCCGCGUGAGUGAAGAAGGUCUUCGGGUCGUAAAACGCUGUUAUAAGGGAAGAAAAGGUGUUGAAUAAACCAUGCACGUCUUGACGGUACCGAAAGAGAAAGCCACGGCUAACUACGUG